CGGUAAUUCCAGCUCCAAUAGCGUAUACUAAAGUUGUUGCAGUUAAAAAGCUCGUAGUUGGAUUUCUGCGGGGACGGAGCGGCCGGACGCAACUUGCGUCUCGAGCUAGCGCUUUCCCCACAUCCUGCCGCGAACCGUGCUACCAUUAGUUUGGUGGCGCUGGGGAUCGGCUCGAUUACUUUGAGAAAAAUAGAGUGUUCAAAGCAGGCCACACGCCUUGAAUAAGUUAGCAUGGAAUAAUGACUAAGGACUUUGGUUCUUUUCGUUGGUGUUCGGGACUGAAGUAAUGAUUGAUAGGGACAGUUGGGGCGGUCCGUAUUCCAAAGCGAGAGGUGAAAUUCUUAGACCUUCGGAAGACGAACAGCUGCGAAAGCGUUCCGCAAGGAUGUUCCCUUUGAUCAAGAACGAAAGUUAGGGGAUCGAAGACGAUCAGAUACCGUCGUAGUCUCAACUAUAAACUAUAGCAGCUAGGGAUCGGCCAACGUUUAAUUAUUCGACUUGGUCGGCACCUUAUGAGAAAUCAAAGCAUCUGGGUUCCGGGGGGAGUAUGGUCGCAAGGCUGAAACUUAAAGGAAUUGACGGAAGGGCACCACCAGGCGUGGAGCCUGUGGCUUAAUUUGACUCAACACGGGAAAACUUACCAGGUCCAGACAUAGGAAGGAUUGACAGAUUGAUAGCUCUUUCUUGAUUCUGUGGGUGGUGGUGCAUGGCCGUUUUUAGUCUGUGAAGUGAUUUGUCUGCUUAAUUGCGUUAACGGACGAGACCCCAGCCUGCUAAAUAGCGCGGCCGAGCUUUGCUCGGUACGAGCUUCUUAGAGGGACUGUUGGUGUUUAACCAAAGUCAGGAAGGCAAUAACAGGCCUGUGAUGCCCUUAGAUGUUCUGGGCCGCACGCGCGCUACACUGUUGGAUUCAGCGAGUCUUAUCCUUAACCGAAAGGUUUGGGUAAUCUUUUGAAAGUCCAACGUGAUGGGGAUUGACCAUUGCAAUUAUUGGUCAUGAACGAGGAAUUCCUAGUAAGCGCGAGUCAUCAGCUCGCGUUGAUUACGUCCCUGCCCUUUGUACACACCGCCCGUCGCUACUACCGAUUGAAUGGUUUAAUGAGACAUUCUGAUUGGCGCUGCCGAAGCUGGUAACGGCUUUGGCGGAUUGCCGAAAAGUUUUUCAAAUUUGAUCAUUUAGAGGAAGUAAAAGUCGUAACAAGGUAGCCG
rnacentral:rRNA from 1 species